rnacentral:rRNA from 1 species
GAUGAACGCUGGCGGCGUGCCUAAUACAUGCAAGUCGAGCGAACAGACGAGGAGCUUGCUCCUCUGACGUUAGCGGCGGACGGGUGAGUAACACGUGGAUAACCUACCUAUAAGACUGGGAUAACUUCGGGAAACCGGAGCUAAUACCGGAUAAUAUAUUGAACCGCAUGGUUCAAUAGUGAAAGACGGUUUUGCUGUCACUGAUAGAUGGAUCCGCGCCGCAUUAGCUAGUUGGGAAGGUAACGGCUUACCAAGGCGACGAUGCGUAGCCGACCUGAGAGGGUGAUCGGCCACACUGGAACUGAGACACGGUCCAGACUCCUACGGGAGGCAGCAGUAGGGAAUCUUCCGCAAUGGGCGAAAGCCUGACGGAGCAACGCCGCGUGAGUGAUGAAGGUCUUCGGAUCGUAAAACUCUGUUAUUAGGGAAGAACAAAUGUGUAAGUAACUAUGCACGUCUUGACGGUACCUAAUCAGAAAGCCACGGCUAACUACGUG